UGCUUGUUGAUAAUUUCGUCAGCAGAAACCUGCUGAGGCCUGAUGUUUGUUGCUACAUUGCUAUGACAAUAGAUACUUUUCUGUGAAGAGUAAUAUGACUGCUCUCUCUCUGUGGAACUGGAACUGGAGUCUUUUCAGGGAGGGAUCCUCCUAUUCAGAGCUCCAAUCGAGCCCCAUGGACGACAUGGCUGCCUACUACACACAGUCCCAACCCUCGACACAUCAUACUUUUCCAUAUUAUCAACAUCCUCAUCCGUCGUCGCUUGCGGUGGUGCCACCACCUCCUGGGGCGGCUGCUCCUCCGGUCCCUCCCCAUCUUCCUUCGCAGUAUGGGUCCUACCAGCAACCCUUGUUUUCUUCUUACGGCCCUCCUAAUCCACUUCAGUAUUCCGCCGACGAGGUUCGGACUCUCUUCAUCGCCGGCCUUCCCGAGGAUGUGAAGCCUCGCGAAAUCUACAAUUUGUUUCGAGAGUUCCCCGGAUACGAGUCAUCACAUCUUCGGAGCCCGACUGAAUCGUCGCAGGCUUUUGCUUUUGCUGUAUUCUCUAAUCAGCAGUCUGCACUUAUGGCAAUGCAUGCGUUAAAUGGGAUGGUCUUUGACCUUGAAGAGGGGUCAACUCUAUAUAUAGAUUUAGCGAAAUCCAACUCUAGGUCUAAGCGCACAAGACUAGAUGAUGAAAUAGUUGGCUCAGAUAAGAAGGCUAGAGGAUCUUCUUUUUCAGCAGCAACUCCUGAUUCCGCAGGUGUUGGCAGCAUACACAUGCCUGGAAUGGGUAAUUCUGCUUACAACACAAACACGUAUGGUUAUCCAUCUGCACGAAGCCCAUGGUAUGUUGAUGGUAAAGCUUUUAAUGACAGUGCAGCACCAAAUUUGAGUAACUCCUCUCGCAUUCCACAAAAUGCGACCCCAUGUCCAACUUUAUUUGUGGCUAACCUGGGGCCAUCUUGUACUGAGCAAGAGCUAAUGCAAGUAUUUUCCAGAUGUCCUGGAUUUUUGAAACUGAAGAUGCAGAGCACAUAUGGAGCUCCAGUUGCAUUUGUUGAUUUUCAGAGUACAGCUUGUUGGAAACGCUGCAGUGCUUCUCUUCACCUUGGAUUUGUGCUGGGGUGCGGAAACCGGAGAAGCUAGCAGAAUCAAAUCUGAUGUCGCCAGAGAUGGAAGAAUGGCGAUGGUGGUGAUCAGUUUGGAUGAGCCUAUUCAAGCACGAAUCAAAGGAUUGUUAUUGGACUGACGGGGUCCCCUCUGGGUGAGAUACUAGCUCUGGUCAAAUGGUGGUGGCGAAGUGUGCAUCAAAGAUGGAAAGAAGCCCCAUUGAACCCCAGUGGGGUCAUAGCAGAGAAUGGUGGAUCAUGUUGAUGUUGACGGUGGUGCUGGAAAGGGCAUUUUAGUAAAUGCACUCCAAAACUUGUUUACAAUUAAAGCCCAUGGGAUCUCUCAGUUAUUAUUGCAUUUUGUGGGACUUUCUGGUAAUUAGAAUUCAUCUAUGGGACCUCCGCAUGAUUUUUCCUAUAAAACAAGUGCAAUGAUGAUGAUGACAUGAAAAUUGUUGCGAAAUCUGUCAGCGCAUUAAAUUUAAACCAGUAUAGGUUUGUUUUUAGAAGUAAUUCAUAUCAUUUGGACGUGUUGAUACUAAUCUAUUCAUUUCUGACAAUUUGGGGCUUGAUCCGACUGAUC